rnacentral:rRNA from 1 species
AACCUUUGACGAUUGACUCACGUUGCCUCGGCGGGUUCGCCCGCCAGAGGAUACAUCAAAACUCCUGUUUUAACGGUGUCGUCUGAGCUACAAGCAACGAAUUAAAACUUUCAACAACGGAUCUCUUGGUUCUGGCAUCGAUGAAGAACGCAGCGAAAUGCGAUAAGUAGUGUGAAUUGCAGAAUUCAGUGAAUCAUCGAAUCUUUGAACGCACAUUGCGCCCCUUGGUAUCCCGAGGGGCAUGCCUGUUCGAGCGUCAUUUCACCAUUCAAGCCUGGCUUGGUGUUGGGCGACGUCCCCUUUGGGGACGCGCUUCGAAACGCUCGGCGGCGUGGCACCGGCUUUAAGCGUAGCANAAUCUUUCGCUUUGAAAGUCGGGGCCCCGUCUGCCGGAAGACCUACUCA